UCUGAUUUUAUAGGUGUAACAAAACCAGACCAGACUGAUGGAAAAGGCACCCAUGGAUCAGAAGAUACAGCGCAACAAGGGUCAGGUGUAACAAAACCAGACCAGACUGAUGGAAAAGGCACCCAUGGAUCAGAAGAUACAGUGCAACAAGGGUCAGAUUCAUAAUUGUGGCAGAACUUGCAAGGCGUUCGAAUAAGAACAAUGCCACAUUUCAAGACUCGGAGGCUACAAAAGGAUGGAAGAAUAGUGAACUUGUGUUACUUAUACAAAGUGUUCUUUCUUCCACAAAUAUAUGUAUACUGUGAGAAAAAUGGAUGCUUGGGAGCACAAUGGUGAUUAAUAAUGGCUUAGCCAUUUUUCAUUGUAAAAUCUUUACAAGAUGACCUGCGUUUACAUAUGGCAUUAUGGAUAAGCAUAUGGGAAAUAUCUUCAUGGACAAACAGCAUUACUGAAGUGAUGAAUAUGAAUUUGCAAGACCUUAAUGAACCAGCUGGUGACAGAUGGGCUUGGUGUGAUGAGGUCAUGAAUAGCUGCACUCUAUUAAAUAGCAAUAAUGUUGUGAUGAAUUUGAAUUACAAGAGCACACAGUUACUACAUUUUUAUUUCAGAGGAACACAGUUCAGUUUAUUUAGUUUCAGUAUAGGGUGCUCAGUACUAAGAAAACCAGGGUAUGGCAUACGUUUUCUAUAUUUGGUCUCCAUUCAAUUCAUGCAGUCAAACCAUUCAUUUAGAGGCACUGUGAAAACUUGUUCACAGUACUAAAAUGCUGUUUUUACACACACCCCAAUCAGUUGCAGUGUUUUUUUUUAAUUGGGAAUUAGUGAUUUGCAAAACAUUGCUAAUAAAGGUCCUCUUCACACUCAU